GAUGAACGCUGGCGGCGUGCCUAAUACAUGCAAGUCGAGCGAACGGACGAGAAGCUUGCUUCUCUGAUGUUAGCGGCGGACGGGUGAGUAACACGUGGAUAACCUACCUAUAAGACUGGGAUAACUUCGGGAAACCGGAGCUAAUACCGGAUAAUAUUUUGAACCGCAUGGUUCAAAAGUGAAAGACGGUCUUGCUGUCGCUUAUAGAUGGAUCCGCGCUGCAUUAGCUAGUUGGUAAGGUAACGGCUUACCAAGGCAACGAUGCAUAGCCGACCUGAGAGGGUGAUCGGCCACACUGGAACUGAGACACGGUCCAGACUCCUACGGGAGGCAGCAGUAGGGAAUCUUCCGCAAAGGGCGAAAGCCUGACGGAGCAACGCCGCGUGAGUGAUGAAGGUCUUCGGAUCGUAAAACUCUGUUAUUAGGGAAGAACAUAUGUGUAAGUAACUGUGCACAUCUUGACGGUACCUAAUCAGAAAGCCACGGCUAACUACGUG
rnacentral:rRNA from 1 species